rnacentral:rRNA from 1 species
UACGUAGGUGACGAGCGUUAUCCGGAAUUACUGGGCGUAAAGCGCACGCAGGCGGAUUGAUAAGUCAGGGGUGAAAUCCCGGAGCUCAACUUCGGAAUUGCCUUUGAUACUGUCUGUCUUGAGUCCGGGAGAGGUGAGUGGAAUUCCUAGUGUAGAGGUGAAAUUCGUAGAUAUUAGGAAGAACACCAGUGGCGAAGGCGGCUCACUGGCCCGGUACUGACGCUCAUGUGCGAAAGCGUGGGGAGCAAACAGG